rnacentral:rRNA from 1 species
UACGGAGGGUGCAAGCGUUGCUCGGAAUCACUGGGUUUAAAGGGUGCGUAGGCGGUUUGAUAAGUCAGUUGUGAAAUUCCCCGGCUUAACCGGGCGGACUGCGAUUGAUACUGUUAGACUUGAAUCAGGUUGAGGUAGGCGGAAUGUGACAUGUAGCGGUGAAAUGCUUAGAUAUGUCAUAGAACACCGAUUGCGAAGGCAGCUUGCUAGACCUGGAUUGACGCUGAGGCACGAAAGCGUGGGGAGCAAACAGG